UACGCAGGGGGCUAGCGUUGUUCGGAAUUACUGGGCGUAAAGCGCGCGCAGGCGGUCUUCCAAGUCAGUGGUGAAAGCCCGGAGCUCAACUCCGGAACUGCCAUUGAAACUGUUAGACUUGAGGAUGAGAGAGGUGAGUGGAAUUCCCAGUGUAGAGGUGAAAUUCGUAGAUAUUGGGAAGAACACCAGUGGCGAAGGCGGCUCACUGGACCGGUAUUGACGCUGAGGUGCGAAAGCGUGGGGAGCAAACAGG
rnacentral:rRNA from 1 species